rnacentral:rRNA from 1 species
AGGAUGAACGCUAGCUACAGGCUUAACACAUGCAAGUCGAGGGGCAGCAUCAUCAAAGCUUGCUUUGAUGGAUGGCGACCGGCGCACGGGUGAGUAACACGUAUCCAACCUGCCGACAACACUGGGAUAGCCUUUCGAAAGAAAGAUUAAUACCGGAUGGCAUAAUUAUUCCGCAUGGGAUAAUUAUUAAAGAAUUUCGGUUGUCGAUGGGGAUGCGUUCCAUUAGGCAGUUGGCGGGGUAACGGCCCACCAAACCUACGAUGGAUAGGGGUUCUGAGAGGAAGGUCCCCCACAUUGGAACUGAGACACGGUCCAAACUCCUACGGGAGGCAGCAGUGAGGAAUAUUGGUCAAUGGACGAGAGUCUGAACCAGCCAAGUAGCGUGAAGGAUGACUGCCCUAUGGGUUGUAAACUUCUUUUAUACGGGAAUAAAGUGAGCCACGUGUGGCUUUUUGUAUGUACCGUAUGAAUAAGGAUCGGCUAACUCCGUGCCAGCAGCCGCGGUAAUACGGAGGAUUCGAGCGUUAUCCGGAUUUAUUGGGUUUAAAGGGAGCGUAGGCGGGUUGUUAAGUCAGUUGUGAAAGUUUGCGGCUCAACCGUAAAAUUGCAGUUGAUACUGGCGACCUUGAGUGCAACAGAGGUAGGCGGAAUUCGUGGUGUAGCGGUGAAAUGCUUAGAUAUCACGAAGAACUCCGAUUGCGAAGGCAGCUUACUGGAUUGUAACUGACGCUGAUGCUCGAAAGUGUGGGUAUCAAACAGGAUUAGAUACCCUGGUAGUCCACACAGUAAACGAUGAAUACUCGCUGUUGGCGAUAUACAGUCAGCGGCCAAGCGAAAGCAUUAAGUAUUCCACCUGGGGAGUACGCCGGCAACGGUGAAACUCAAAGGAAUUGACGGAAGGGCGAA